GGAGGAUUGUGACUUUGGGGUAGAGCACAUGCUGUGCAAGCAAACGGUCCCAGGUUCAAAUCCUGGCAUCUCCA